UACGUAGGGUCCGAGCGUUGUCCGGAAUUACUGGGCGUAAAGAGCUCGUAGGUGGUUUGUCGCGUUGUUCGUGAAAACUCACAGCUCAACUGUGGGCGUGCGGGCGAUACGGGCAGACUAGAGUACUGCAGGGGAGACUGGAAUUCCUGGUGUAGCGGUGGAAUGCGCAGAUAUCAGGAGGAACACCGGUGGCGAAGGCGGGUCUCUGGGCAGUGGCUGACGCUGAGGCGCGACAGCGUGGGGAGCAAACAGG
rnacentral:rRNA from 1 species